AACGAACGCUGGCGGCAUGCCUAACACAUGCAAGUCGAACGAACCCUUCGGGGUUAGUGGCGCACGGGUGCGUAACGCGUGGGAAUCUGCCCUUUGCUUCGGAAUAACAGUUAGAAAUGACUGCUAAUACCGGAUGAUGUCUUCGGACCAAAGAUUUAUCGGCAAGGGAUGAGCCCGCGUAGGAUUAGGUAGUUGGUGGGGUAAAGGCCUACCAAGCCGACGAUCCUUAGCUGGUCUGAGAGGAUGAUCAGCCACUCUGGGACUGAGACACGGCCCAGACUCCUACGGGAGGCAGCAGUGGGGAAUAUUGGACAAUGGGCGCAAGCCUGAUCCAGCAAUGCCGCGUGAGUGAUGAAGGCCUUCGGGUCGUAAAGCUCUUUUACCAGGGAUGAUAAUGACAGUACCGGGAGAAUAAGCCCCGGCUAAUUCCGUGCCAGCCGCCGCAGUAAAAC
rnacentral:rRNA from 1 species